GGAACGUUUCACGGUAGGGAAGGUGGAGGUUGGUGGAGACGAAACGAAGAUGGAAACUCCUCCGGAAUUGGACAUCCCAUGAAUCAGGAUGUGGAUUCAGGAGAUAAUGGGGGCGUCAAAUCAGGAGAUGAUGGAGGCGUGAAAUUAGGGGAUAAUGGGGAGGAUAACAAGGAUGGAGACGUGGGUCAAGGAGACUUAAACUCUAAUGAUCUAAUUCCUGGUGAAAUUGGACAGGAGGGAAUUACAAUUAAUGAUACAAAAAGAAGAAGGAUGAGCUUGGGCAAGCAAUCAAAUGUGGACCUCAAUACUUCUUCAGAUCCAAAAAAUGGACCAGCGGUGGGCCUCCAGGAGAGGACCCG
rnacentral:misc_RNA from 1 species